rnacentral:lncRNA from 1 species
AAAAAAAAAGCAUGGUGUCUCCAACAAGGCCUACCCAGAUCUGGCCAAGUUGCUCAGGUUGGCCUCCAACUGAAGCUUCUUUGACCUCCCUAGAUGCUUGAAUCACAGGCAUAUGCCCUGCACCAGUGACAAUGGUCACUUUCUAUCAUCUUCAAAAGGGUAGAGACACAAUGGAGUCCUCAACUCCGCACAAAACCUCCCUUUUAGAGACUGGGUUUCUUUUACUGCAUAGCCCAGACUGGCUUCCAACUUGUGAUGCUCCUGCCCUAGCACCAAGUGCAAUCUACUACCAUGCCCAGGUCAUUUUCCUUUGCUG